rnacentral:tRNA from 1 species
UCCGCCAUAGCUUAGUUGGUAGUAGCGCAUGACUGUUAAUCAUGAUGUCGUAGGUUCGAGUCCUACUGGCGGAG